rnacentral:rRNA from 1 species
UACAGAGGUGGCAAGCGUUGUCCGGAUUUACUGGGCGUAAAGCGCGCGCAGGCGGCACUGUAAGUAAGGUGUGAAAUCUCCCUGCUCAACGGGGAGGGUGCACUUUAGACUGCAGAGCUAGAGGACGGUAGAGGGGGGUGGAAUUGCUGGUGUAGCGGUGAAAUGCGUAGAGAUCAGCAGGAACACCCGUGGCGAAGGCGGCCCCCUGGGCCGAACCUGACGCUGAGGCGCGAAGGCUAGGGGAGCGAACGGG